UUGCGUACAGUUUGAGUAUUGGAUGUGCUUUCAGUUUAGCUGGUUCUGUAAAUUCCAUUUUGCUGUUUUGGUGUCUUUGGGAAUUCUAAUCAUCAGUUGUAUAGUUCACUCUUAACAGUUUAGAAAAUUGUAGAUAAAGAAAACAAAGAAAGCGACCUCAGAAAACAAAUCUCAAUACUUGAUGUGCCAAAAUUGUGUUCCAGACUUUUCUAACGCAUCACCUACUUUAAUUCUGAAUUCAAAGAACAUUAUA
rnacentral:lncRNA from 1 species